UUUUUAGGUUAAGCCACCACUACCAACUAAACACCGCCACCUCUACAUUUUGGCACUAUAUUCACCUCUCAGACACAGUUGUAUGAUUGUGUACAAUGUAUCGAUUUGAAAAAUGAAAGUUAUGGUGUCGUAUAUUAUUUUGAUCUUUACCAGUCCCUAUACACCGUGCAUAAUCAUUGUUCAUAAUAGGUGACUGCAUUGUAGCUGUACUAGAGUCUAUACAGUCAUACUAUAACUAGACUGUAUUUUCCUAGAUCUAUAUACUAGUAUACUUUGAUGUGAUUACACUAGUUUGACAUUCCUUCUGCUUGCAAUUGCAGGGACAUUCACUGUAGCUGUAAAAGCCCAACAGUUUACAAUUGAGCCUGAGUCAGUGGUAUACAAGCCGAGGGAUUAUUGGCAGAGUUUAAGUGCCUGUCUCCUGGAGCACUAGCUCACCCUUGGUUCGUGGAUGGCAUUGAGUCUACAAGCCCUAACACUUCAUCUGAAAUCAGAGUAGCUGGAGGUAUUUCAGGUCGUCCCUCAGUGCUGACCAUCCCAGCCAGUUUACAGUUCAACAACAGUGUCAUUCCGUGUCUCGCAGCUUCAGUGAGUAGUGUAGUGUUCUCAAGGAAUGCAACAUUGAUAGUUGAGCGUGUAUCUAUUGAAGUGGUGAAUAGUGAAACCCACCUUGCUGUCUCUGUGACGAAUAACUUCACUCUGAAUAAUGUUACCUAUCGUGUGGACAUCUCGCUUACUGCUCUGGGCACCAAUGAGAUGGUUGCACUUCCUCCUCUAAAUGGGGUAACAAAUCAAGCACAGUUUAAUUUCGGAUACCCUAACCACACUGUCUGUGAUAUAUUCACCUUCAUUGUGACUAAUUAGUGAGUCAGGAAUAGAAGGAAGAGAUCCAGUGAACCUGCAGUCCCUGCAUGGGUUUUUCCUACGAGUAUAACAGGUGAUAGCAUUGCCCCACUCAUCAGCCGGAAUGAAGAUGUGUUGAUGAAAAUUGUGACUUUCAUUGAUGCGGUGCCUAACUGCCGCAACUUCACUCAUUACCGAAUAGACUCAGCUGCUUUGCCAAGUCCCAUCACUGAGAUCAUACAAUACCCGCUGACUGUGCUGAGUUUCCCUCUUCCCUCUGACAUAAUAACCAAUGUCACUGUCACACUUACUGCACUGGGGGGUGGAACUGAUAUUCCAAAACAUAGCAAUACGAACAACUGAUGUUCAAAAUUUGACAGUGAACAUUUGCCCUGAAGGAAACUGUAUUAGUGUGAGCAUUGUGUAUGUUGAAGGUAUACCCUCUCUCCCGGAGCUCUUGUCUGUGUGAUACGUAUCACUGAUGGAGAGUUGGAUUUUGGUAGCAUAAAAGUAAUUACCAUACCUCAUAGCAGGAGUGACAAUUUCACAAUAUUAGCUGUUCCCAGUGGAAACUACAGAGUGAUUACGAACGCAAUUUUCUGCCGAGAAUGCCCAUCUCAAUAGCAGCUAACAGCAGGGACAUAUCUGUUACGGUGUCCUCAGGAGAUGGAGGACAACCUCCCAGUUGUGAAGGCGUUUCUGUCACAAAGUUGCCAAAUGGAGA